rnacentral:rRNA from 1 species
GAUGAACGCUGGCGGCGUGCUUAACACAUGCAAGUCGAACGAAGCACUUUAUUUGAUUUCCUUCGGGACUGAUUAUUUUGUGACUGAGUGGCGGACGGGUGAGUAACGCGUGGGUAACCUGCCUUGUACAGGGGGAUAACAGUUGGAAACGGCUGCUAAUACCGCAUAAGCGCACAGCAUCGCAUGAUGCAGUGUGAAAAACUCCGGUGGUAUAAGAUGGACCCGCGUUGGAUUAGCUAGUUGGUGAGGUAACGGCCCACCAAGGCGACGAUCCAUAGCCGACCUGAGAGGGUGACCAGCCACAUUGGGACUGAGACACGGCCCAAACUCCUACGGGAGGCAGCAGUGGGGAAUAUUGCACAAUGGGCGAAAGCCUGAUGCAGCGACGCCGCGUGAGCGAAGAAGUAUUUCGGUAUGUAAAGCUCUAUCAGCAGGGAAGAUAAUGACGGUACCUGACUAAGAAGCACCGGCUAAAUACGUG